rnacentral:rRNA from 1 species
CCUACGGGCGGCUGCAGUGAGGAAUAUUGGGCAAUGGGCGCGAGCCUGAACCAGCCAAGUAGCGUGAAGGAUGACUGCCCUACGGGUUGUAAACUUCUUUUAUAAAGGAAUAAAGUGAGGCACGUGUGCCUUUUUGUAUGUACUUUAUGAAUAAGGAUCGGCUAACCCCGUGCCGGCAGCCGCGGUAAUACGGAGGAUCCGAGCGUUAUCCGGAUUGAUUGGGUUUAAAGGGAGCGUAGAUGGGGUGUUAAGUCAGUUGUGAAAGUUUGCGGCUCAACCGUAAAAUUGCAAUUGAUACUGGCAGUCUUGAGUACAGGUGAGGUAGGCGGAAUUCGUGGUGUAGCGGUGAAAUGCUUAGAUAUCACGAAGAACUCCGAUUGCGAAGGCAGCUUACUAAACUGCCACUGACAUUGAGGCUCGAAAGUGUGGGUAUCAAACAGGAUUAGAUACCCCUGUAGUC